rnacentral:rRNA from 1 species
AUGCUCCCGCUUGCCGCCGCAAGGGCCUGCCUUUCCUUCUCAGCACCGUCACCGAGACCCCAAACCCUAGCGGCGCCUCCCUCCCCCCUUCCCCGUCGCCGCUCCACCGCCACGCUGCCCAGACCCGCCAGGAUCCCCCUCUUCCGCCCGCUCGGGGCUGGCGCGCCGGGCGCGUCCUCGCGGCCCGCGAGGGACCACGUGAUCGACUUCGGCAAGCACAAGGGCCAGAUGCUGGGCACGCUGUCGCCGUCCUACCUGCGUUGGGUGGUCGCGGAGCUCGACUACGGGGACACGUUGGUCUGGGCGUGCCUGGCGCGCGAGGUGCUCGACGACCCCGUCUACGUCGACCGCAAGAUGGCCGAGCGCUUCGGCUGGGAAGUCUCCGACGAGUACGGCUGGGGCCUCCUCGACUUCCGCCUCCUCGGCACCUCCUAUGGCGGUCGUAUCCCGAGGAAGACCGACAGGCGCCAGAGCACCGGCAGCGGCAGCAACAGAUCCCCCCGCGGCGGCGGUGUGCUGUUCGACACUGGGGCGGCCGACCCGGACGGGCCGAGGGGGAAGAGGGACGAGAGGAGGGAGAGGAUGUGGACGAGGAGGGAGGAGCAGGUGAGGACGGCGAAACUGGAUGUGCUCGGCGUGAACUCCGGCGCGAAAUCUGACUCCGGCGCGGACGAGGCUAGCACGCCGUUAACGGCAGUUAACGCGCGGUGGUGA